rnacentral:rRNA from 1 species
CGGGACACGUGGUAUCCUGUCUGAAUAUGGGGGGACCAUCCUCCAAGGCUAAAUACUCCUGACUGACCGAUAGUGAACCAGUACCGUGAGGGAAAGGCGAAAAGAACCCCGGCGAGGGGAGUGAAAAAGAACCUGAAACCGUGUACGUACAAGCAGUGGGAGCACAGAGCAAUCUGUGUGACUGCGUACCUUUUGUAUAAUGGGUCAGCGACUUAUAUUCUGUAGCAAGGUUAACCGAAUAGGGGAGCCGAAGGGAAACCGAGUCUUAACUGGGCGUUAAGUUGCAGGGUAUAGACCCGAAACCCGGUGAUCUAGCCAUGGGCAGGUUGAAGGUUGGGUAACACUAACUGGAGGACCGAACCGACUAAUGUUGAAAAAUUAGCGGAUGACUUGUGGCUGGGGGUGAAAGGCCAAUCAAACCGGGAGAUAGCUGGUUCUCCCCGAAAGCUAUUUAGGUAGCGCCUCGUGAAUUCAUCUCCGGGGGUAGAGCACUGUUUCGGCAAGGGGGUCAUCCCGACUUACCAACCCGAUGCAAACUGCGAAUACCGGAGAAUGUUAUCACGGGAGACACACGGCGGGUGCUAACGUCCGUCGUGAAGAGGGAAACAACCCAGACCGCCAGCUAAGGUCCCAAAGUCAUGGUUAAGUGGGAAACGAUGUGGGAAGGCCCAGACAGCCAGGAUGUUGGCUUAGAAGCAGCCAUCAUUUAAAGAAAGCGUAAUAGCUCACUGGUCGAGUCGGCCUGCGCGGAAGAUGUAACGGGGCUAAACCAUGCACCGAAGCUGCGGCAGCGACACUGUGUGUUGUUGGGUAGGGGAGCGUUCUGUAAGCCUGUGAAGGUGUGCUGUGAGGCAUGCUGGAGGUAUCAGAAGUGCGAAUGCUGACAUAAGUAACGAUAAAGCGGGUGAAAAGCCCGCUCGCCGGAAGACCAAGGGUUCCUGUCCAACGUUAAUCGGGGCAGGGUGAGUCGACCCCUAAGGCGAGGCCGAAAGGCGUAGUCGAUGGGAAACAGGUUAAUAUUCCUGUACUUGGUGUUACUGCGAAGGGGGGACGGAGAAGGCUAUGUUGGCCGGGCGACGGUUGUCCCGGUUUAAGCGUGUAGGCUGGUUUUCCAGGCAAAUCCGGAAAAUCAAGGCUGAGGCGUGAUGACGAGGCACUACGGUGCUGAAGCAACAAAUGCCCUGCUUCCAGGAAAAGCCUCUAAGCAUCAGGUAACAUCAAAUCGUACCCCAAACCGACACAGGUGGUCAGGUAGAGAAUACCAAGGCGCUUGAGAGAACUCGGGUGAAGGAACUAGGCAAAAUGGUGCCGUAACUUCGGGAGAAGGCACGCUGAU